ACCUCAUUUUAAGAUGGCUGCUACCUACAUUCCGGUUAGCGUUGUGAAGCAUAAACGAAAUAAACACGGAGUACGUUGGUACACACCGAAAGCCGGGACUCCACAGGUCAUGCGGAUAUCUGAUUUGUCUGCCUGUGACUUACCGUUAUCGAUCACCAGACCCGAGAGUCGAAAUUAUUAUUUUACACAACUUUUUCACCAAACAGCAAACAUCUUACACAAGGUUCCCAUUUCAUGACAAGCUCAGGCUGCAGCAGUGGGUAGCAGAUUUCAGGUGAAUGAAUUGCAAACAAAGCCAACACUCUCGUCUCUGUGCCCAUCACUUUGAACAUGAGUGUUUUCAGCAUGAUGACAAGGGAAAGGUCCGCCUCAUCCCGACUGCUGUGCCCACCAUUUUCUCCUCCCCUGAUCGUCCUCAAAAGGGGUCACAAUGCCCAAUUGAAAGACAAAGGAAUAUGGUUGGUACAGAGGUAAGUGUGAACGUUGAUCAUGCGAAAGCGUCUGCUGUACAUGAUCACACUUACUGUGUAAGUAACGUCGUUGAGGAUGCAGAUGCUGGUCACAGCAAUAUCACUGUGAUGCUGCAUCUACAUGAUGACACAAGACGUGUGUCAGAUGUAGGCCUACGUUACAAUGAUAUAACUGUGAGAGUCGAUGUAAGUGAGGAAAGUGUGGCGUCAGAGGUCCAUGAUACUGGGAUUAAUGAUCAUGUUUAUGCUUGGACACCCCUUGUUCCUGAAAAAAAACUACUGUAGGCUACUGACGUCACCAGGCGAUGUUCCCACACCUCAGCUGAGCAAUGAGUAUCAAAAUCCAAUACCGACAAACCCACGCUCUAUCCCAGUUUGCCUGCAUUUUUUUCUUCAUUGGCGUGAGUGUCAUUUACUGUUUGUUUUCACAUGCCACAUACCUGAGGUCCUCUUGUGUGUUCCACCUCCAGCUAACGUUGAUCGCAUGCCAUUUAUCCAAUUUCAAUUGUGUUCCAAGCUGGCCGCUGCUGAUUCCUUGCCUCUACCAGAGAGCUACCUGGCUAACUAGAGUGGAGCUGCAGGCUCCAUCACUAGGCGAUGUUCCCACACUUCAGCUGAGCAGAGGAUCCAAUACGACAAACCAUGCAGCAGAUCCUCAAUGUUCGUCUUGUCAGGUUUUACCAGCGUGUUUUCCCAUCUCCAUGCUUCAUCAAGUUCUGUUUCCCUGGUUCUGACCCCGAGCCUGCCUGCUGUUCUGUACCUGCCCGACUGUGACCCAUUUACGAACCUCUGCCUGACCCCGACCCUCCCUACUGUUCAGUACCUUAUACACUCUGCCCUGGAUUACGGACCUCUGCCUGUCUUUGACCUGUCUUUUGCCUUCCCCGUUUGGGUCAAUAAACAUCUCUAGCUGUCUGCAUCUGGGUCUUAUCCUGAGUUAAUGGCAGACUCGGACCAACUCCACAAUGCUGUCUCCCUUCAAGGAGCCACCAUUGGAAGACACGAGGAGUUACUGCAAUGUGUUAUGGAGGGACUCCAUACCCUGGCAGAACGCCAUGACCAGGCGUUCGAUACAAUUCCGCGGAUUCUCUACUGGGCAGUGGUUCACACCAGUAAUUUCUCAGCCUACCCCAGUGUCCCAAGAACCCCAUUUACCUCCUCCGGAGCGCUACGCUGGAGAUUCUGGAACUUGACGGGCUUUUCUCUCCCAGUGCUCCCUCAUUUUUGAGCUGCAGCCUUCUUCAUUCCCCUCGAGGAUGGCGUACAUCAACGCAGAUGUCCGGGAGGGAGGGAGCCUGGGCUACGGCGGUGUGGGAGUAGUCUUUAGUCUGGCUCAGUCUGGAGGAGUUCGUGGCAGAAGUUCGGAAGGUGUUUGAUUCUCCGUUGUCCAGGAGAGAGGCUGCUACGUCAAGACUCCCGUAGUGUGGUAGACUACGCAGUGGAUUUUACCAUGUUGGCGGCUGAGAGUUCCUGGAACGUGGAAGCAUUGUUCGACAUGUUCCUUCAUGGAUUAUCGGAGGGGAUCAAAGAUGAGCUCGCAGCCCGGGAGCUGCCCAUGGACUUUGACUGUCCGGAUUGAUGGGCGGCUUCGAGAACGUAGGAGGGAGAAGGAAUCUGUGCCCUGUCGUCUUCAUUCACCCUCGAUUCCCACCUCGCCUCCGAAGAAUCCCGGAAACCCCCGAAGUCUACAUGUCCGCGUGAACCCGACGUCACCGAGUGCUGCCGACUUGCCUCCUUUCGGAGUCCAUGCACCUGGGCAGGAGUCCAUCUACACCCAGAGCAGUCUAUAUUGUGGAGCUACGGGAAAUGUUGUAGGUACCUGCCCAUUUAAAAACCCAGGCUCAUCAAGAAGGGGCGAGUACCCUGGUGGGCCAUAUGGUGAAGUUUUCCUCUUCCCUUAAUCGCACCCCUUUCCAUGCCAUCCUGCUGUGGGGGAACCAGACGAAAUCCCUCUGGGUACUCAUCGACUCUGGGGCCAAUGACUUUUUUGGGGGAUGCUACCCUGGUGUCUGAGCUGGGCAUCCCCACUCAGCCCCUCUCCUAUCCCGUGGACGUUAGAGCGCUGGUCGGGCGCUCUAUAGGCCAGGUCACUCACAAUACCACUCCCAUCAACCUACAAGUGUUAGGGAACCACAGCGAGGCAAUCCAAUUUAUGCUGAUUAAGUUUCCUCGGGUUCCGGUGGUAUUGUGAAACUCUUGGCUCCAGCAACACAAUCCCCUCAUAGACUGGACUGCUGGUGCCAUUAUGUGCUGGAGCCCAUUGUGCCAUGCCCAUUGUCUGAAGUCAGCGCAGCCUGCCCCAGGACGUCCAGCCCACAGCCCAGUCUUCCUACAGGCUGGUACUCAGGGUGUGGGGUGCUAUGGUCAUUGUCUCCACCUAGUAAUGAAAUACAGAAGUGGAACCAGUAAAAAAAAAAAAACAUGGAAAACUGGGAAAGCUUAGGUGUAAUUGAUAUACAAAUAUUACUUUAUAAUGCAUGUUGAGUAUUGGAAAA